rnacentral:rRNA from 1 species
CUGCGAGCGUGACGGCGCGAGCAGGUGCGAAAGCAGGUCAUAGUGAUCCGGUGGUUCUGAAUGGAAGGGCCAUCGCUCAACGGAUAAAAGGUACUCCGGGGAUAACAGGCUGAUACCGCCCAAGAGUUCAUAUCGACGGCGGUGUUUGGCACCUCGAUGUCGGCUCAUCACAUCCUGGGGCUGAAGUAGGUCCCAAGGGUAUGGCUGUUCGCCAUUUAAAGUGGUACGCGAGCUGGGUUUAGAACGUCGUGAGACAGUUCGGUCCCUAUCUGCCGUGGGCGCUGGAGAACUGAGGGGGGCUGCUCCUAGUACGAGAGGACCGGAGUGGACGCAUCACUGGUGUUCGGGUUGUCAUGCCAAUGGCACUGCCCGGUAGCUAAAUGCGGAAGAGAUAAGUGCUGAAAGCAUCUAAGCACGAAACUUGCCCCGAGAUGAGUUCUCCCUGACUCCUUGAGAGUCCUGAAGGAACGUUGAAGACGACGACGUUGAUAGGCCGGGUGUGUAAGCGCAGCGAUGCGUUGAGCUAACCGGUACUAAUGAACCGUGAGG